rnacentral:rRNA from 1 species
UUCCUACGGGGGGCAGCAGUGGGGAAUAUUGGACAAUGGGCGAAAGCCUGAUCCAGCCAUGCCGCGUGGAUGAUGAAGGCCCUAGGGUUGUAAAGUCCUUUCGAUGGGGAAGAUAAUGACGGUACCCAUAGAAGAAGCCCCGGCUAACUUCGUGCCAGCAGCCGCGGUAAUACGAAGGGGGCUAGCGUUGCUCGGAAUCACUGGGCGUAAAGCGCACGUAGGCGGUUUUCUAAGUCAGGGGUGAAAUCCCGGAGCUCAACUCCGGAACUGCCUUUGAUACUGGAGAACUUGAGUUCGGGAGAGGUGAGUGGAACUGCGAGUGUAGAGGUGAAAUUCGUAGAUAUUCGCAAGAACACCAGUGGCGAAGGCGGCUCACUGGCCCGAUACUGACGCUGAGGUGCGAAAGCGUGGGGAGCAAACAGGAUUAGAUACCCCUGUAGUCU